AUGAAACUCUCGGGAGAGAACCUUAAGUGGUGGCCGAAGGAAUAAGUAAUACCUACCAAGUAUUAUGAAUCUCUCAGGCGAAAGUACCGAGAAUGGACA
rnacentral:ncRNA from 1 species